GCCAGGUGCUGUGAUGCAUGCCUGUAAUCCCAGCAGCUGGGGAGGCUGAGGCAGGAGGAUCAUGAGUUCAAAACCAGCCUCAAAAGCAAGGUGCUAAGCAACUCAGUGAGACCCUGUCUCUA
rnacentral:sRNA from 1 species